rnacentral:lncRNA from 1 species
ACUGGGGAAAAGUUCAGUUUAGGGUUGGGGCCUUAAUGCUGACUAAAGGGAAGAGUUCAGUUUAGGGUUUAAAACCCUAAUGCUGACUAAAUGGAAAAGGUUUAGUUUAGGGUUUGAAACCCUAAUGCUGACUAAAGGGAAAAGUUCAGUUUAGGGUUUAAAACCCUAAUGCUGACUAAAGGAAAAAGUUCAGUUUAGGGUUUAAAACCCUAAUGCUGAUUAAAGGGAAAAGUUCAGUUUAGGGUUUAAAACCCUAAUCCUGAUUAAAGGGAAAAAUUCAGUUUAGGGUUUAAAACCCUAAUCCUGAUUAAAGGGAAAAGUUCAGUUUAGGGUUUAAAACCCUAAUGCUGACUGAAGGAAAGAGUUGUCGGGUUAUGCCGGGGG